rnacentral:rRNA from 1 species
GUAGGUGGCAAGCGUUGUCCGGAAUUAUUGGGCGUAAAGCGCGCGCAGGCGGUCCUUUAAGUCUGAUGUGAAAGCCCACGGCUCAACCGUGGAGGGUCAUUGGAAACUGGGGGACUUGAGUACAGAAGAGGAAAGCGGAAUUCCAUGUGUAGCGGUGAAAUGCGUAGAGAUUUGGAGGAACACCAGUGGCGAAGGCGGCUUUCUGGUCUGUAACUGACGCUGAGGCGCGAAAGCGUGGGGAGCAAACAGGGAUUAGAUACCCUGGUAGUCCACGCCGUAAACGAUGAGUGCUAAGUGUUAGGGGGGUUUCCGCCCCCUUAGUGCUGCAGCUAACGCAUUAAGCACUCCGCCUGGGGAGUACGGCCGCAAGGCUG